rnacentral:rRNA from 1 species
UACGGGGGGGGCUAGCGUUGUUCGGAAUUACUGGGCGUAAAGGGCGCGUAGGCGGUCUGCUAAGUUGGAUGUGAAAACUCUGGGCUUAACCCAGAGCCUGCAUUCAAUACUGACAGGCUAGAGUUCUGGAGGGGAUAGCGGAAUUCCAGGUGUAGCGGUGAAAUGCGUAGAUAUCUGGAGGAACACCGGUGGCGAAGGCGGCAUCCUGGACCGACACUGACGCUGAGGAGCGAAAGCCAGGGGAGCAAACGGG